AACACGUAGGCAACCUACCCCUGAGCGGGGGACAACCCAGGGAAACUUGGGCUAAUACCGCAUAAGACCACGAACUGGGAUGUUGGUGGUAAAAGGAGCGAUCCACUUGGGGAUGGGCCUGCGGCCUAUCAGGUAGUUGGUGGGGUAACGGCCCACCAAGCCGGAGACGGGUAGCCGGUCUGAGAGGACGAACGGCCACACUGGUACUGCGACACGGUCCAGACUCCUACGGGAGGCAGCAGUGGGGAAUUUUGCACAAUGGGCGAAAGCCUGAUGCAGCGACGCCGCGUGGAGGACGAAGGCCUUCGGGUUGUAAACUCCUUUUGUAGGGGAAGAUAAUGACGGUACCCUACGAAUAAGCCACGGCUAACUCUGUGCCAGCAGCCGCGGUAAGACAGAGGUGGCAAGCGUUGUUCGGAAUUACUGGGCUUAAAGGGCGCGUAGGCGGUGAUGUAAGUCUGGGGUGGAAUCCCGCAGCUUAACUGCGGGACUGCCUUGGAAACUGCAUGGCUUGAGUCGAGCAGGGAAAGGCGGAAUUCCUGGUGUAGCGGUGAAAUGCGUAGAUAUCAGGAGGAAGGCCUGU
rnacentral:rRNA from 1 species